rnacentral:tRNA from 1 species
GCCUGGGUGGCUUAGUCGGUUGAGCAUCCAACUUUGGUUCAGGUCAUGAUCUCUUGGUUUGUGAGUUCGAGUCCCACUUUGGGCU